GUGGGGAAUUUUGGACAAUGGGCGCAAGCCUGAUCCAGCAAUGCCGCGUGCAGGAAGAAGGCCUUCGGGUUGUAAACUGCUUUUGUACGGAACGAAACGGUCCUGGUUAAUACCUGGGGUCCAUGACGGUACCGUAAGAAUAAGCACCGGCUAACUACGUGCCAGCAGCCGCGGUAAUACGUAGGGUGCAAGCGUUAAUCGGAAUUACUGGGCGUAAAGCGUGCGCAGGCGGUUAUAUAAGACAGAUGUGAAAUCCCCGGGCUCAACCUGGGAACUGCAUUUGUGACUGUAUAGCUAGAGUACGGCAGAGGGGGAUGGAAUUCCGCGUGUAGCAGUGAAAUGCGUAGAUAUGCGGAGGAACACCGAUGGCGAAGGCAAUCCCCUGGGCCUGUACUGACGCUCAUGCACGAAAGCGUGGGGAGCAAACAGGAUUAGAUACCCCUGUAGUCC
rnacentral:rRNA from 1 species